GCCUGGGUGGCUUGGUCGGUUAAGCGUCUGACUUUGGCUCAGGUCAUGAUCUCACAGUCUGUGAGUUCGAGCCCCGCGUCGGGCU
rnacentral:tRNA from 1 species